rnacentral:rRNA from 1 species
AUCAUUAACUGAAUCCAUAGGUUAAUGAGGCGAACCGGGGGAACUGAAACAUCUAAGUACCCCGAGGAAAAGAAAUCAACCGAGAUUCCCCCAGUAGCGGCGAGCGAACGGGGAGGAGCCCAGAGCCUGAAUCAGUGUGUGUGUUAGUGGAAGCGUCUGGAAAGGCGCGCGAUACAGGGUGACAGCCCCGUACACAAAAAUGCACAUGCUGUGAGCUCGAUGAGUAGGGCGGGACACGUGGUAUCCUGUCUGAAUAUGGGGGGACCAUCCUCCAAGGCUAAAUACUCCUGACUGACCGAUAGUGAACCAGUACCGUGAGGGAAAGGCGAAAAGAACCCCGGCGAGGGGAGUGAAAAAGAACCUGAAACCGUGUACGUACAAGCAGUGGGAGCACGCUUAGGCGUGUGACUGCGUACCUUUUGUAUAAUGGGUCAGCGACUUAUAUUCUGUAGCAAGGUUAACCGAAUAGGGGAGCCGAAGGGAAACCGAGUCUUAACUGGGCGUUAAGUUGCAGGGUAUAGACCCGAAACCCGGUGAUCUAGCCAUGGGCAGGUUGAAGGUUGGGUAACACUAACUGGAGGACCGAACCGACUAAUGUUGAAAAAUUAGCGGAUGACUUGUGGCUGGGGGUGAAAGGCCAAUCAAACCGGGAGAUAGCUGGUUCUCCCCGAAAG